rnacentral:rRNA from 1 species
CGGGGGGGGCAAGCGUUGUUCGGAAUUACUGGGCGUAAAGGGCUCGUAGGCGGCCAACUAAGUCAGACGUGAAAUCCCUCGGCUUAACCGGGGAACUGCGUCUGAUACUGGAUGGCUUGAGUGUGGGAGAGGGAUGCGGAAUUCCAGGUGUAGCGGUGAAAUGCGUAGAUAUCUGGAGGAACACCGGUGGCGAAGGCGGCAUCCUGGACCAUUACUGACGCUGAUGAGCGAAAGCCAGGGGAGCAAACGGGAUUAGAUACCCCGGUAGUCCUGGCCCUAAACGAUGAAUGCUUGGUGUGGCGGGUAUCGAUCCCUGCCGUGCCGAAGCUAACGCAUUAAGCAUUCCGCCUGGGGAGUACGGUCGCAAGGCUG